GCAGUAGAACGCUGAAGGGAGAGCUUGCUCUUCUGGAUGAGUUGCGAACGGGUGAGUAACGCGUAGGUAACCUGCCUGGUAGCGGGGGAUAACUAUUGGAAACGAUAGCUAAUACCGCAUAACAGUUAGUGUUGCAUGACAUUAACUUGAAAGGGGCAACUGCUCCACUAUCAGAUGGACCUGCGUUGUAUUAGCUAGUUGGUGAGGUAAAAGCUCACCAAGGCGACGAUACAUAGCCGACCUGAGAGGGUGAUCGGCCACACUGGGACUGAGACACGGCCCAGACUCCUACGGGAGGCAGCAGUAGGGAAUCUUCGGCAAUGGGGGCAACCCUGACCGAGCAACGCCGCGUGAGUGAAGAAGGUUUUCGGAUCGUAAAGCUCUGUUGUAAGAGAAGAACGAGUAUGGGAGUGGAAAAUCCAUACUGUGACGGUAUCUUACCAGAAAGGGACGGCUAACUACGUGCCAGCAGCCGCGGUAAUACGUAGGUCCCGAGCGUUAUCCGGAUUUAUUGGGCGUAAAGCGAGCGCAGGCGGUUAGAUAAGUCUGAAGUUAAAGGCUGUGGCUUAACCAUAGUACGCUUUGGAAACUGUUUAACUUGAGUGCAAGAGGGGAGAGUGGAAUUCCAUGUGUAGCGGUGAAAUGCGUAGAUAUAUGGAGGAACACCUGUGGCGAAAGCGGCUCUCUGGCUUGUAACUGACGCUGAGGCUCGAAAGCGUGGGUAGCGAACAGGAUUAGAUACCCUGGUAGUCCACGCCGUAAACGAUGAGUGCUAGGUGUUAGGCCCUUUCCGGGGCUUAGUGCCGCAGCUAACGCAUUAAGCACUCCGCCUGGGGAGUACGACCGCAAGGUUGAAACUCAAAGGGAAUUGACGGGGGCCCGCACAAGCGGUGGAGCAUGUGGUUUAAUUCGAAGCAACGCGAAGAA
rnacentral:rRNA from 1 species